rnacentral:snoRNA from 1 species
CGUCGUUGCUUGAUGAAUCAAUACCGGAUGUAAAUGAGCUACGGCUCUAUCGUCCGAGAGCGCAAAACCGUGUGGAUGUUUCCGUUGCCUUCCUUCUGAUCUUUUCGUC